rnacentral:rRNA from 1 species
AUUGAACGCUAGCGGCAGGCUUAACACAUGCAAGUCGAACGAUGAAACUCUAGCUUGCUAGAGAAGAUUAGUGGCGGACGGGUGAGUAACAUUUAGGAAUCUGCCUAGUAGUGGGGGAUAGCUCGGGGAAACUCGAAUUAAUACCGCAUACGACCUACGGGUGAAAGGGGGCGCAAGCUCUUGCUAUUAGAUGAGCCUAAAUCAGAUUAGCUAGUUGGUGGGGUAAAGGCCCACCAAGGCGACGAUCUGUAACUGGUCUGAGAGGAUGAUCAGUCACACCGGAACUGAGACACGGUCCGGACUCCUACGGGAGGCAGCAGUGGGGAAUAUUGGACAAUGGGGGCAACCCUGAUCCAGCCAUGCCGCGUGUGUGAAGAAGGCCUUUUGGUUGUAAAGCACUUUAAGCAGGGAGGAGAGGCUAAUGGUUAAUACCCAUUAGAUUAGACGUUACCUGCAGAAUAAGCACCGGCUAACUCUGUGCCAGCCGCCGCGGUAA